AGCGAACGCUGGCGGCAGGCCUAACACAUGCAAGUCGAACGGAUCCUUCGGGAUUAGUGGCGGACGGGUGAGUAACACGUGGGAACGUGCCCCUUGGUUCGGAACCACUCAGGGAAACUUGAGCUAAUACCGGAUGUGCCCUUCGGGGGAAAGAUUUAUCGCCAUUGGAGUGGCCCGCGUCUGAUUAGCUAGUUGGUGAGGUAAAGGCUCACCAAGGCGACGAUCAGUAGCUGGUCUGAGAGGAUGAUCAGCCACAUUGGGACUGAGACACGGCCUGAACUCCUACGGGAGGCAGCAGUGGGGAAUCUUGCGCAAUGGGCGAAAGCCUGACGGAGCCAUGCCGCGUGAAUGAUGAAGGUCGUAGGAUUGUGAAAUUCUUUCACCGGGGACGAUAAUGACGGUACCCGGAGAAGAAGCCCCGGCUAACUGCGUGCCAGCCGCCGCGGUAAAAC
rnacentral:rRNA from 1 species